GAAUUUUAUACAAUUUUUAUAUAUCAGUUAUAGAAAGAUUGUAUUUGAUUGGGAGGAUAGUUAAAUUUAAUAAACUUUAGUAAUUUAAAAACAUGAAUUAAUGAUAAGAGAGUAAUGAUUAAGUUAAAUUAUAUUAGAAUAAAUUACCUUAGGGAUAACAGCAUAAUAUUAUUUUUUAGUUCUUAUAUAAAAUAAUGUUUAU
rnacentral:rRNA from 1 species